UCCUACGGGGGGCAGCAGUGGGGAAUAUUGGGCAAUGGAGGAAACUCUGACCCAGCAACGCCGCGUGAAUGAUGAAGGUCUUCGGAUUGUAAAGUUCUUUUCUAAGGGAAGAAGAAAGUGACGGUACCUUAGGAAUAAGCCUCGGCUAACUACGUGCCAGCAGCCGCGGUAAUACGUAGGAGGCAAGCGUUAUCCGGAUUUAUUGGGUGUAAAGGGCGUGUAGGCGGGAAUGCAAGUCAGAUGUGAAAACUAUGGGCUCAACCCAUAGCCUGCAUUUGAAACUGUUGGUCUUGAGUAUCGGAGAG
rnacentral:rRNA from 1 species